GGCAUUGGCAACGCCCCAACAAUUCAAGAACUGCGUGAACUCACAAAUAAGUUUGCCCCUAGAGUACUUUGUAUAGUUGAAACCCAGCUCAGUGGGGAGAGACUUGAAAAUCAAAAAAGUACUUUAGGUUUUGAUAGUUCUUUUGCUGUGGAUGCCUCCAGUAGAAGCGGAGGUUUAGCUAUGUUUUGGAAUAAUGAAAUAAACAUUGAGGUUUUGGGCUACUCGAAGUAUCAUAUCGAUGGUAAAAUUACUGGUCUAGGGGACCAGCCGUGGAGGCUUUCAUGCUUAUGCGGGGAAGCAUAG
rnacentral:rRNA from 1 species